GACGAACCGUACGAACGUUAUUCGGAAUUACUGGGCUUAAAGGGUGCGUAGGCUGCGCGGAAAGUUGGGUGUGAAAUCCCUCGGCUCAACCGAGGAACUGCGCCCAAAACUACCGUGCUCGAGGGAGACAGAGGUGAGCGGAACUUAGGGUGGAGCGGUGAAAUGCGUUGAUAUCCUAAGGAACACCCGUGGCGAAAGCGGCUCACUGGGUCUCUUCUGACGCUGAGGCACGAAAGCUAGGGUAGCGAACGGGG
rnacentral:rRNA from 1 species